rnacentral:lncRNA from 1 species
CACAUUUCCUGGACCAACCCAAGUGAUCCUUAAAAAGAUGGCAUCAUUUACAUCAUGCCACUCCCUUUCUCAAAAUUCUUCACCAUCUUUUCUUCCAACUAGGAGCUCAAACCCAAAUCCCGAAACAAGCACGCCCCAGGUUUUCAAACCCAAAUCCCUAAACAAGCACGCCCCAGGUUUUCAAAGCCACGUUGGCAUUUUCAGCGGCAAACUCCCCCACCCAACACCCACCAUUCUGCUUGGGUUGUCAGAAAAUUGGCCAAAAUCUCUUAUUCAUUCUACUAUUUUAAAAUUCCUAUGUUCACCGUGAUAUGAUCUAAAAAUGCAGAUUAUAUCCAUUUUCCUUGUUGUUUUCCUUCCAAUCCUUUUGCUUCUUUUUCUCACCUUGUCCUUCCGGGAGCCCCUGCAGCUGACGCUGAUGUCGGAGUCUCGGGUGUUCCUUCUGGUCUCGCUCCCGACUUGAGGAGGCAGAUUUCAACAUGGAGCAGCAGGUAGGGUUCGGCUGCAGCUUUUUGUUUCGUCUUUGUUCUGUUUUGUAUCCGAACUCUGUUAGCUUUUCGACCUUCCCUUUUAUCCGGAGCACGUGGAUCCAUCCUGUGUUUCAGGGUGGGGUUUUACUCUUCUGCUGAGAGUGUGGCCUUUUCUGAUCCCGGCUUUAGGAGAGCAGGACUUCCUGUUGAAGCCCCCACAUUCCCAUGUCUCCAAACUUUAAGAGAUCAUGAAAUUCCAGUUCACCUUUCCUUGGUUUAGCUGGCAUCCUUGGGACGAAAGCUGGGCUGUGC